GCCCUCCCGCUCGGGGGACGCCGCGGCGACACCUGGUGGGCACCGGUGGAAGGCAUCGCGGCUCGGCUGGGCGCUCAGGUCCCCUCUUCUGUUGGCUGUGGGAAAUGGCCCAAGGAUGAGGAAGAGACACCAAGGCCCCAUAAGCACAGAGGAAAGACCAUGUGAAAAGGCAGUACAAGAGCCACCUGUUAAGCCAAGAAGAGAGGCCUCAAGAAACCAACUGACACCUAAACCAACACCUUGAUCUUGGACUUCGAGCCUCAAGAACUGAGAUAUAUUUCUGUUGUGUAGGCCAGCCUCCUGUGUGGCAUUUUUUUAACGGCCACCCUAGAGAAAUAGGGAACCAGCAGGAAGGCAGAGCUGGUUUAAAGAGGAUGGAAGACUGAUCUGGAACAAGAUUGUGAAGUCAGACGCACAAUCAAUUAGUGUCCUUCAGACAUGUGCAUCUAUGGCCUCUGGGUUACCUUCCUAGACAAGAAUCGUUUGCAUCUUAUGACUUUUCUCCCAGGUUACAUUCUUGAGAUAUAAUUAAUAACUAACAAGUCAAAUGUAAUCACUGUCAUAGAGCAGAGUCCCUCAAUAGCAGCACUACUAACAUUGUGGACAGGACAGUUUUGUUGUGGGGCUGUCCUGUGCAUUUGAAGUUCAGCGGCAUACCUGGUCUCUGCCCACUAGAUGGCAGUAGUACGUGUUCCCCCAUCCAGUUGUGACAGUCAAAAAUGUUUCCAGACGUUGCCAAAUGUCCCUAGAGGGAGACAGAAUUAUCACUGCUCUAGUAUAAGUUUGAAUUAAAAGACCCAAAGCCUUA